AAGAUUUGGAUGCUGGUUGGGAAGUACUGAUAGUAAUCCCUUCUUUAAUGCUAGGUGGUUGUGGAGUCCGACCCUGAACAAGGAAUGUGAGGCAGAGACUCCACAGUCCUCAUUUCUGCUGGUAUUUCUACAUCACCUCCAUUGGGAACCUAUUCUCAUGUUGCCUCCCGUUUGCUCGGAAGUUUCAGUACCGUGGAAGGCUAAAAAGGGCUGCGGUGGUCAUCUGCCGAGUGACCUUGAGCAAGCAUUCCACCUCUCUGAGCCAUGCUCCUUCUGUGCCCUGCUGCCUCCCAGGACAGAAGAUAAUGGUGGGAAAGUUCUUUGAAAUGCAUCACACACCUACGAGCUGUUUUGAAACUUCAUGCAAACCGGUGGGUGCUGCAGAAUUGGCCUCUUCCAGCCACAGCAGUAAUCCUGUUACGUUCUCUCUGUGAGUCUGGGAAACAUACAGACACUGGUUGAAACUUCAGCUUUGUCAUUUACCAGCUGUGCUAUCACAGGCUGGUCUGAAACUCCUGGGCUCAAGCAGUUCUCCCACAUUGGCUUCCCAAAGUGCUGGGAUUACAGGUCUGAACCACCGAACCGGGCCACAGAGUGGCAAUGUGGUUGGCAUGACCCAGUCACAGCACCCCGGGACUCUUGUCCAGCAUUGGCGCUCUAUAUGCAGAGCCCUUUCACUCAGCCUGGCAGCAUCUGAUCAGCGUCGAAGCCCAGUGGCUUGAGGAAUAAAUAUAAACAGUGCAGAGACUAAAAGCAGAGCUCUGGUCCAGCACAUCUACUCCCAAGCUCUGCCACCCUGGACAAGCUCCUUCCCCUCUCUGAGCCUCAGUCUCCUCCCUGUAAUACUGUAAGAACCCUGUCCACAGUUGUGUGCCGAUAUACUGAAUGUAAAGCACCUAAAAGCCUGCCAGGACGUGGCAGGCACUCAAGAAGCAUUACUAGAUUCAUUUCACACAUGGAGAAACUGAGUCCCAGAGUGGGAAAGUGACUCAGGCAAAGAUUCCCUCACAGAACUGGGGAUAAAAAUCCAGAUCUUCAAGCUCCCAGUCAGUGCCUAAUUACUACUUUCUCAUUCUUGGAAUUUGUAAUUAUUUCAUGACAAGUGUGCUUUUGGCUGCUGGAGGGACAGAGCUUCAGAGGUUGUGAGCCUCCCCUGGCUCAGCCUGACCCAGAACCAGCUCACUCAUGAAACUACCCUCUCUUGAAGAGAAUAGGAGUUGUGGGGAGGAAGAACAUAACCCAGAGGCCAGAGAACGUGGAGGCCAGGGUUGGUGUAACUGUGUAGGUAAGAGCAGCAGCUUCGUGAUCAGCCAGACCUGCAUUUAAAUCCUUCUCUGCCACUUCUUAGCUGUGUGACCAGCUACAUGACACCACCUCCCUGAGCCUCAGGUUUUCAUCUGUAAACUUUCAAUGCUACCUCUCCCAUAGGGUUGUUGUAGGAAUUAAAUAAGACAACAGAGGUAGAGUACCUGCUCCCAACUGGCAGCCCUUAUAAUUUCAUGAAGAGGAAGCAAAAGGGGAGCCAGCUACCUUUUUUUUUUUUUUUUUGAGACAGAGCCUCUUUCUGUCACUCA
rnacentral:lncRNA from 1 species